rnacentral:rRNA from 1 species
GACGAACGCUGGCGGCGUGCUUAACACAUGCAAGUCNAACGAUGAAGCCCAGCUUGCUGGGUGGAUUACUGGCGAACGGGUGAGUAACACGUGAGUAACCUGCCCUUGACUCUGGGAUAAGCGCUGGAAACCGCGUCUAAUACCGGAUACGACCUGCCCCGGCAUCGGGUGCGGGUGGAAAGUUUUUCGGUCAAGGAUGGACUCGCGGCCUAUCAGCUUGUUGGUGAGGUAAUGGCUCACCAAGGCGACGACGGGUAGCCGGCCUGAGAGGGUGACCGGCCACACUGGGACUGAGACACGGCCCAUACUCCUACGGGAGGCAGCAGUGGGGAAUAUUGCACAAUGGGCGAAAGCCUGAUGCAGCAACGCCGCGUGGGGGAUGACGGCCUUCGGGUUGUAAACCUCUUUUAGUAGGGAAGAAGGGCUUCGGCUUGACGGUACCUGCAGAAAAAGCACCGGCUAACUACGUGCCAGCAGCCGCGGUAAUACGUAGGGUGCAAGCGUUGUCCGGAAUUAUUGGGCGUAAAGAGCUCGUAGGCGGUUUGUCGCGUCUGCUGUGAAAACCCGAGGCUCAACCUCGGGCCUGCAGUGGGUACGGGCAGACUAGAGUGCGGUAGGGGAGAAUGGAAUUCCUGGUGUAGCGGUGGAAUGCGCAGAUAUCAGGAGGAACACCGAUGGCGAAGGCAGUUCUCUGGGCCGUUACUGACGCUGAGGAGCGAAAGCGUGGGGAGCGAACAGGAUUAGAUACCCUGGUAGUCCACGCCGUAAACGUUGGGAACUAGAUGUGGGGACCUUUCCACGGUCUCCGUGUCGCAGCGUAACGCAUUAAGUUCCCCGCCUGGGGAGUACGGCCGCAAGGCUAAAACUCAAAGGAAUUGACGG